CAGCCACCUCUACCUGCAGAAUGCCUUCCAGAGAGUGUGGGUGUUCCACUUGGGCUCUGUAUCAUGUGUUGGCCGCACGGAUACAGCAUGCAGGUGGAAAAAAAUGCUGCAGACUCUGAAGAGAGUAGAAGCAGGAGGGAGGCUGCAGUGGAGGAGAGAGGAAAGCUGCACUUUGAAGCAGGGAAUGCCCUGCUGAUAUGUUUUGAAAGCACUGCAGGCAGACUCCUUCCCAGAAUUUCAACCCUCUCCCAAGGUCAGUAAGUAAUAUUGCGCUUGCUUAGAGAGAUUCUGGUUUAGCUUACUAGUGCUCCUAUUGCACUUGCUUAGGGAGUUUCUGCUUGCCAUCUUCUGGGGCUAUCAAAAAUGGAUACCUGUGUGUGUGCAUAUGCCAAAUAAAACUCAUAACUCUGUGCUGCUCUGA